GUAAGAGCCAGACUCGAAAUGCCAAUUCUGCCUCUUUGGAGCCCAACUUUUUGAAGGGAAAAGGCCACAUUUGUGCAGAUUUGUGUCCCUUUGUUCGGAAGUCGCUGAACUUGCCAAUCAAAGGGAGAUGAAAGAAGCACGGAUGCAUCAGGAGGAAGACAGAAUACCCCAGUGCUCCUGGUUCCACCUGACCUGACUCUAAGCGCACAGUUUCAGAGCAAGCUUGAGGACCGAAGGCAGGAAGCAGAAGCUGAGAAGGUCGAUGCAGGGGAAAUGAUGAACCUAGCAGAAAUGGAAAGAGCAGCAAAGCCUCAUUGUUCCCAGGACCCCGGAUCAUGACCGCAUGCAGCGAUGCUUUGUGUGACCACCUCCUGUGCUGCUGUGGGUCCCAGCGGGGUGGGAACAACCUGGCACUCGGUUCACCUUCCAGCCUCUCUUCCAAACCUGCGCUGGACCUGGACCUGCGCUGCCUCUCAGGAGUGAGUCCAGGGCCAUAGAUGUCUAUCUUCCCCAACACGUCAAGCAAGCCCCGGAGUGAGGAGGUGGAGGCUGACACACAGCAGGCGGCUGUGCCUCACACAAGAGAUGAGACUGAGAGAGGAGCAAACCCUGGAGCCGCUGCAUCCAGCCACUGCUUCAGUGAGACCUAAACCUCCCGGAUGUGUAAGCCAAGAGCUUCCUCCCACCUGUUUAAAAACAUUUGCAGUGGGAUUCUCCCAUGUAUAUUUCAGUGAACCCUAAUCAUAUGUGUGUCUGUGAGCAUCAGGUUGAAACACAUCUAGGAGACUUUGGACCGAACAGCAGGAAACAGAA